GUAUAUGCCCGAAUUUAUAAAGGUAAUUGUGUAUGAGACUGUUUUAAUAGCCUCGUCGAUGGAUGAUCUACAAAUGCUUGUUAAUAAAGUUCAUGAAACUAGCGAAAGAGACGGUCUGACUAUUAAUGCAGUAAAGACGAAGGUGAUGGUCAUUUCUCGAAACGACACUUUAGAUCCUAAUUUAUCCGUAGCUGGUAGAACGUUGGAACGGGUGCGGCAAUACAAGUAUUUGGGAACUUGGGUUACAAACGAGUGGAACCCUGAUCAGGAAAUUAGGUCUCGAAUCGAAAUUGCCCGAGGAUCUUUCAACAAAAUGAAGAAAGUUUUGUGCUGCCGUCACUUGACCAUUAAACUCCGAGUCCGACUUCUCCUUUGUUACAUAUGGCCAAUUGUUAUGUACGGCUGUGAAGCUUGGACAAUCAAAGAAGAUACCCGCCGGCGCUUAGAAGCAUUUGAGAUGUGGUGCUAUAGCGGGUAGGAGAGGUAGCAAAUAUCAGCCGAGGUUAUCUGGGUCUCUAAAUGAUAGUGGACAGCGUGGAUGUUAGAAUUGAACCCCUAAAAUUCGUGAAGUCCACGGCGAGUGUGGAAGGGAGUGACUUUGUUAGUUUGCCCUGAGAUUGAUACAGUCUUAUGUUUAAUUUGAUAGUCAUAAAGCGCAGAGUUGAAGAAUACGAAGGGCCUGUGCGUCCACCACCGGGUGCUGAGCGUCCCGGUGGAGGACGCCCAGAGGGGGAUCCUCCACCGCGCGCGACUCUCUGAGUUAGUCUCCUGUUUCUUCUGCACCUUCAUAUUUCUUAGGGAGGGAAGGGGUUAUGGGCUCCUGGAAUCUCGCUCACCGCAUGAAACGCGAGUACAUUUUGGUAAACCUAUUUCAUCACUAGGUGCUCUGCUAUUUUGGAAGUUUAAGUUUAUUUUUUAUAAAUAUUAAGUUUAGUUUUCUUGGGGUACAAUUUCCUUAAUUAGAGAACUUCUAUCCCUUGUUAUGUUAGAUAAUUUACAGGUACUUACGACUUUUUCGGUUUAAACUACUAUACAAGUCGUGUAGUUCGGAAAGCUACCAAGGAUGACAAAUUGGAUUGGCUCUUCACAGGCUCUCAUGAAUUAGGAUCUUUUUUGACGGUUGACGCUACAUGGAGGAAUGCAGAUAUUGUACCUUGGUUAUACGAAUAUCCAAUCGGGCUCCGUCGAAUAUUGGAGUGGGUUAAGAAGGAAUUCGGUGACAUUGAAAUUAUAGUAACGGAAAUAGGCUAUGGUGAUGGUGGUGAAGAUGAAAAUGACUAUAACAAAAUACGAUAUCACAAGGAGCAUUUGGAGCAGGUCGAACUCGCGAUUAAGGCAGGGAUAAAUGUAACUGGAUACACAGUUUGGGAGUCUAAUUGAUACGUUUGAGUGGGAGUCUGGAAAUACAGUGAAAUUCGGUCUCUACAAAGUGGAUUACGAUGAUGCCAAGCGCGCACGCAUUCCUCGCCCAUCCGCCAAGUUCUACGCAUCCGUCAUACAAGCUAGAUCUCUUGAUGUUUUACAUAAAUAUAUUUACGAUGAACUUUAAAGGACUUUUUAUUUCUGUUUAUUGUAACGCU